GUUACUGUAGCGCAAUGGAUAGCGCGUUGGACUUCUAAUCCAAAGGUUGUGGGUUUCGAAUCCCACCUGGGAUGGCU